GCGGGAAUAGCUCAGUUGGUAGAGCCCCGGAUUGUGAUUCCGGUUGUCGCGGGUUCGAACCCCGUUUCUCGCC
rnacentral:tRNA from 1 species